AGGUCCUCCAGCCUAGAGCAGUGCGGGCAUUUCCAUUUCAAAGGGAAACACACUGCAGGGGUCCUCAGUGAGGGAAGCGCUACACUGGGGAAGAGAGGGCUGUUGGGCUCCCAGGCACACACAUAGGAGUCAUUCUCAGCUCCGACCUCAUUUUCUCAUCCCCAAUUACAAAUCAUCUUUUGACUAACUCACAAGGCCAUUCCCAUUCCCCCCCCCACCCCACCCCCACCCCUGCACGGUCACAAUCCCCUUUAGGAAAUUCAUUUCGGGUCCGUUUGGCAGAGUCCAUGAGCAGAGCUAAACAUCUCAGAAAACACAGCUUUGUUACACCUUCCAGGUCUCCAGAGGAAAACUCGUGGCUUCCGAGGCCACCAGGAAGAGAAAAAUCUUCCUUCUGCUGUUUGCACGCUUGGGAUACUGGUAAAGAAGGAAUCUGUUUUCUGAGCACAGAAAUCUUUUGAAUUCUUGCAUCAUCUCCAACUCGAGCAGAACCGAUUCAGGACAGGAAUGACAGAAGUUGGAAGAGAAGCAGGAAACAGGUCAGAUGCAGGACCAGGCUAUUGAGAGCAUCACUCAGAUACCCUCCUUCGGACCCAGCUCCCUUUGGGGAGAAGACACGGAUACAGUGGGGGAAGCACCAGCACGGCUGCUGGGUGGUGAGGUGGAAGAUGCUUCCUAUCUGACCACACCCAUCUUCUCUCUGAAUAUAUUUAAUGAGAACUGCUGUGUCCCACAUUCUCCAAAGAAAAACUCUGCAUUUGAGAGAUGGAACAGGUAAUUUAAAUAAUUAUCUGCUGUCAUUCGUUUGCAGUUAGUGACCAGGGGUAAAUUUUCAUACUUUUAAUUUGCUUUCUGCUUUCUCUAAUCUGAUGAUUUCUGGGGACCUCACCAUUUUGAAGACUGGCUCUGAGAUCUGGAGGAAAAUAAAAUAGGAAACACCCUCCCUUCGUGCCCAUCGUUCAGGAUCCAAGCGCCUGUUCUAUCUUCUUCAGGAAGCUUCCUCCAGUUACUUCAGUUUACACAAACUCAUUGUCCUCCGAAUUUCAACAACAUGGAUCAUUAGUGGUAGAGACUGCUAACACCCACCAAGUGCCCACUCUGAGAGAGAGAUGGAUAAGUGUGAGGUAUGUCAGAGUGGAACUGUGUCUGAUAAGGACAAAACUGAUAGGUUAUGACCAGAAAAAGAAUAUUAUUCAGUUUAGGGUUUAUUUGUAGCCCCAAAGGGAGUCAGUAAAGGUAUUUGAGCACAAGAAUGAUUCAAUGAAAGGCUACUCUUUACAAAGAGUAAUCUGCAGUGGGAAUGAUGAUUGAGAUGAAAGGGAGAGAAAAAAAAUGGAGGACAGGCGUUCCUGUCGUGGCUGAGUGGUUAACGAACCCGACUAGUAACCAUGAGGUUGUGGGUUCGAUCCCUGGCCUCUCUCAGUGGGUUGGGGAUCUGGUGUUGCCAUGAGCUGAGGUGAAGGUCACAGACACAGCUCAGAUCCGGAGUUGGUGUGGCUCUGGUGUAGGCCGGCAGCUACAGCUCUGAUUGGACCCCUAGCCUGGGAACCUCCAUAUGCCACAGAUGCAGCCCUAGAAAAGACAAAAAAA
rnacentral:lncRNA from 1 species